ACGGAGGAUGCGAGCGUUAUCCGGAUUCAUUGGGUUUAAAGGGUGCGUAGGCGGACUAUUAAGUCAGUGGUGAAAUCCUGCAGCUUAACCGCAGAACUGCCAUUGAUACUGAUAGCCUUGAGUUUGGUUAAGGUAGGCGGAAUGUGUAAUGUAGCAGUGAAAUGCUUAGAUAUUUCACGGAACACCAGUGGCGUAGGCGGCUUACUAGGACGACACUGACGCUGAGGCACGAAAGCGGGGGGAUCGAACAG
rnacentral:rRNA from 1 species